UACGUAGGGUGCAAGCGUUUGUCCGGAAUUAUUGGGCGUAAAGAGCUCGUAGGCGGUUUGUCGCGUCUGCUGUGAAAACCCGAGGCUCAACCUCGGGCCUGCAGUGGGUACGGGCAGACUAGAGUGCGGUAGGGGAGAUUGGAAUUCCUGGUGUAGCGGUGGAAUGCGCAGAUAUCAGGAGGAACACCAAUGGCGAAGGCAGAUCUCUGGGCCGGUAACUGACGCUGAGGAGCGAAAGCAUGGGGAGCGAACAGG
rnacentral:rRNA from 1 species